rnacentral:rRNA from 1 species
GAUGAACGCUGACAGAAUGCUUAACACAUGCAAGUCAACUUGAAUUUGGGUUUUUAACUUAGGUUUGGGUGGCGGACGGGUGAGUAACGCGUAAAGAACUUGCCUCACAGCUAGGGACAACAUUUGGAAACGAAUGCUAAUACCUAAUAUUAUGAUAGUAGGGCAUCCUAUAAUUAUGAAAGCUAUAAGCGCUGUGAGAGAGCUUUGCGUCCCAUUAGCUAGUUGGAGAGGUAACGGCUCACCAAGGCGAUGAUGGGUAGCCGGCCUGAGAGGGUGAUCGGCCACAAGGGGACUGAGACACGGCCCUUACUCCUACGGGAGGCAGCAGUGGGGAAUAUUGGACAAUGGACCGAGAGUCUGAUCCAGCAAUUCUGUGUGCACGAUGAAGUUUUUCGGAAUGUAAAGUGCUUUCAGUUGGGAAGAAACAAAUGACGGUACCAACAGAAGAAGUGACGGCUAAAUACGUG